CCGCGCCGUCUCGGUCACUCGUUUUUUGGGUCAAACACACAAAGAUAACUACGUCGGUAGUGUUAAUCAACCAAAAGAAUAUAUUUAUGACUGAUCAGCUCCUCUAAAAAAAGGGAAAAUGCAUCAUGGGCCGGCCCAACGGAGCAGCAGGGUGUGCGGCCUCGAGAGAGCUAACCACAUUCCUUUCCCCAUCCGUUGCUCUUCCAGCUCCUGCACUUCAAAUCGUUCGCCGCCACCACGCCGGUCUCUAUCUCACGUCGGUCUCUACCGCCGCCAGCACGCCAGGAUGGGAAGCACAGGCCUCCGGUCGUCCGGUUCGGUACCAACUCCGGGCGACAGGAGCAGCGACGGGCAGAGUGGGCGGCGAAGAAGGCGAAGCGAGGAUGAAGGGGAUCUCACUGUCCUAGAGGUCGACGGGCAGAGGAGGAGGGGAGGAAGGGGCGUGGUGAGGGGAGGAAGGUGCGUGGGGAAGGGAGGAAAGCGGAGAAAGCGCGGCGAUGCUGGUGAUGAAUCGGGAGGGGGAAGAGAGGAAGAGGAGACCACUGUCCCAGGUAGCAACGCUGGUGCUGAAGUUGAGCCCGUGAAAGAGCAAGCAACAUCGAUAUUUAUAUCCUGUCCCGAGACCUUCGUGAAUAUUGUUUUGUCCAAAAUUAGAAGCGACAAGCAUAUUAAUCUUAUCACUUCUAUUGGGUUCCAAAAUUCACGGAAGAUGCAACCUGUUGUUCUGGACAAAUGCACAAUCAAGCAGUUGCGCUCACGAACAAGCUCAUGCUCGGUACUGAGGAGGUAGGUAGAUUUACACAAAGUGGCGCAUAAAGCUCUCGGUGCCCCCAAUGGAACCAUACCCAUUGAAUUUGACUUUGAUAAUCCAGAAGAAAAGGGCAAAGAGUCUGAAUUUGCUGAACUGAGACAAAUGUUCACAUCGACAAGAAACGGGAAAACAGGGUCAGCGUAUUAUAGUGAGUUUGUAAUGCAACUUCAGAAAGAUGCCUUGGACGAGGAUACAUACUGCAUCGUAUACAUGCUUCAAGCAUUGUGUCAUGUCUUCGCUUCAAGGGCCAAUAAAAACCUGGGGAGAUGUUUCUUGCCUAUUCUUAAGAAAUAUCCUCGUAGUAUGUGGAAGAACUUGGCAUGGACUAAUUUUUUUGUAGAUUUUCUUAUACAUGGCAUGAAAAGCUAUCAGACGAGCACAGUACAACACAGAAAGUGUCAUGGAGUUGUACUCUUGCUCGAGGCUGUAGCUGUUGACUUUUUGAUUGAAGAUGAAACUUUAUCUCAGGAGUUACCACGCAUAAAUCACAUCACGCAAAGUCAUUAUGACAAAUUGCACAAAUUGGCGCGUGAAGACUUCAAAAGUUUAUUAUCUAAAGUCAAGAAAUUCAAUGAUACUGUGUACAGUAAGGAUUACCUAAUGAAAGAGUCUGGAGAAAACAUGACGGAGAUGCAGUUGCCUGUCCACCCUGAUCUUAGCCAUGUGCCUGUCCGCACUGAUCUUAGCCAUGGUACAAUGGCUGAUGCAAGCAUGGAUGUGUCAGUGCCCAGUGCUAUUGCUAAUGACUUGGUUCAGAAGCUCUCAGGAUUACAACGUGCGCUAUCUGCUGCACCUGAAGGAGUAACCAAUCUGAUUGAUUCCUUGAAGGCAGAGGUGUCAAGUGAAAAUGGCAAGGACAUGGUUUCUCGCUUGGAGAGUCUUUUGAUUACAGACCGGGAAUAUGUCAACCAUGAAGUUACAGAGUCUAAGUCGAACUCAUACAAGCUUAUGAUGGUAGGAUAAAAAUGAUGUGUUACGCGUUCGAUCAAACAUUUGGAGCGAUCGAAAAAUCUGGGACCUCUUCGGGGAACGCCGCAAUCGUGAUAAAUGAUGGCUUGACUGCACAAGUUCGUCGACAAAUUUCUUCUCUUGCUAGUCCUAUUCCACAUGGUGAGAAAUUUCCCAAUCACAAGCAGCAGGAAGCUGAAGAGAUCCAUCAAGUCUCCAACAGGUGUACUCCUGAAGAUGUUUACGCGAAGUUUGUGGCUGGGGAAGUAGCAAAUCACAAAAAGCUUGACACACUUGUACUAAUUAAAGGUCAUCAUAUAACUUGUGGAGAAUAUAGUGCAAAUUUGAAGGUUGAUGGCGAGAUAAGUGUCUCUUUCAUGUCGCUGUGCACACAUACUAUGAUGGCGGAUUGGAAUGACCCGAAAAGGUUUAUCAUUGAUCCAGUUGCAUUGACUGAGGCACAAGGACCAGAGGCCAAUCUUGGACGAUUACAUCAAUGUCUCCGUCAGAUUCCACAAACUGAUCUUGAGACGCUGUAUCUGCCAUCAUUAAAUAGUAAAUACUGGAUUCUUGCAAUACUAUAUCUAGCUGCUGAUCUGAAAUAUAUUGAGAUCUAUGACUCGCUGGGAAAAAGGGACACACUUCCAGUUUUCUUGGGCACAUUGAUUGAUGAAAUAAGGAACUACCCUGCAACAGCAUUCCUCAAUAUACCAGCUGCUACAGACCUCCAAGUGAUGUAUCCAGACUUUCCGGAGCAGGAAAACAGUCAUGAUUGUUGGAGUAGCCCAGCUCUUGCCCUAGCUGGCCGUAGCCCUACCUCUCCCUGUCUCUCUGCACUCUCGUCAAACGAUCAGGGAAAGAAGAAGAAAAGGGACACAGGAAGUUUCCUGGCGCACGACAGCCGCACGAACGGCUUCCUUUUUAUCUUGAGCAUGAACUCAAUUGCCGGCUCCAGUACAACGUAACCAUACAGCUUUAUACCCAGGCAAGUGACCGGGCACGCACCCUCAUUCCCUGCCUUCUCGCGCCCACGAUCCGCACGCCUCGCUCCGCUACGACGCGUUCCCGCGCGCAGCUCGCGGCCAGCUCCAACGGACUUGCGCGAGAUCGCCGUAUAGCUAGCUAACUGCCUGCCUUGUAUUCCUACGCCUACUGUGCGCGAGUGCUUGGUCACCCCGUGCAACACACACACGCUCACACACGCACACCUAGCCCGUGAACCCGAUGCACCCGACGUGCCCGGUGCGCGCCCAUACACGUACCAGCCACGCCGAGUUCAUCGCCACGGUUUUUUAUGUCCUAACAAUGAUUGUGGUAUGUUUGUGAUAAAGGCGCUUGAAUGCCAUAAGGGGAGGGAACUAGUCGAGAUGCCAGCGGUAACUGAAACUUCUAUUAUAUAUUAUAUAAUGAGAUAUGUGACUAUUAACUAAGUAGUUUGUUGUUUGCUUCUUGAUCUUGCAGGACAUGGAACCUUACAGAAUCGAACUGGCACACCGGCUCUAUUGCCACCAAUGGAAUGACCUCCAUCCUGAGAGACAAUUGACUUCAGAAAACUAGGGUAGCAGACAGUACCAACUCAAGGAAAUUAUUAUGGUUUUGCGGUGCUCCUUCAACGGCGAAAUUCCUCCUAGAGACUAUAUGUUGGGACAAAAUUCCUCCGUGCUCAGAAAGCUUAGGAGAAAUUCCUACUUGUCCUGGACGAAAUUUCUGUGUAUGCGUACGUAAUUUCUGUGCGUACAGACAAAAUUCCGUGGUUUAGGGACAAAAUUCCUCCGUGCUCAGAAGACAUUUCUGUGUGUACGGAAGAAAUUCCUCCUUGCUGAAAGACAUUUAUAUUAGCUUAGAAGAAAUUCCUACUUGUCAUGGACGAAAUUACUUUGUGCAAAGACGUAAGGUUCCUAUCCAAAAAUAAAAUAGCAUAGUUCAGCUUAGCAUAGCUCACUUGCAUAUAAAAGUUUACUAGGAACUAGAACCAAGGUCUGUGUAACACCAUUCAGGUUAAGA